rnacentral:SRP_RNA from 1 species
GGAUGGACUAGGUCGGGGGGUUUGGCCCCCCUCUGUACCCGCACUAUGGUCAUCAGCGGGGACCGAACCCGGGGGCGUCCGGUCAGACGGACGCGGACCCCGUGAGCCAACGUGGAAGCCUCGUCCCACGGGGACGGCGGUCCACGUGGUCGCAUCUGCAGGGAUGCGCUCACGUGGUUAAACGAUGGCAGCCCGCCAGGCACGGAAGUGAGCAGCGGACCAUCGAACACCCGUCGCUCGUGGGGUCGCGGGGUGGAGGAGGCAAACGGGAUUACCCGCGUCCGAACGCCGGGCAAUCCCGGUGUCCGUUC